GCAUUUAGCUGUUUUCCCCCGGCGCUUCAGUGUGGAGCUUAUUCCUUGGUGUCUCGGUUAUCGUACGAAUUAGCUGAAGCGAGGAUGCCUGCGCAUGCCUUCAUCUGAUAGGCGGAUCGAAAGUCUGGGUUCUACACAGUAAUGGGACGGAGCGUGCUUACCAAAAGCAGCCUACAAUCUUUCAAAACAAGAAACGUGUUUUGCUGGGAGAAACUGGCAAGGAAAAACUCCCUCGGUACUACAAAAACAUCGGUCUAGGCUUCAAGACGCCCAAGGAGGCCAUCGAGGGCACCUACAUAGACAAGAAAUGCCCCUUCACUGGUAAUGUCUCCAUCCGAGGACGGAUCCUGUCUG
rnacentral:lncRNA from 1 species